GCUCCCAUGGCGUAGUGGUCACUGCGCUCGCCUUGCACGCGGGAGACCCGGGUCCGAUCCCCGGCGGGGUCA
rnacentral:tRNA from 1 species